CCCAGGAGCAAGUGUUGCUUGCAGCUUCCUCUCACACUGGCCUGGUAAUGGAGUUCAAUCCCCAGCAAGAGCCAAGGAUUUCUUGUAUUAUUAACCUUUCCCCUCCAGCUCACUGCCCCCACUGCCUACCCUGCUGCCUCAGUGUUUCUUCUUGGAAAGCAAGAAAACUCUGCAUUUCCUAAAGAGCAGCAUCGAGCCCCGGUACCACCAUCCUGAUCUCCGAACUCUGGUGUUGACCACAGGAAAACGCCUUUGCUUGUUCUUGGCAACCGUCCACCACACAAAGACAAAAAUAGGAGCCAGUACCUUGUCCACCCUGGAGCUGUCCCUGGUCUUACUGCCCCCGUGACCAC